rnacentral:rRNA from 1 species
AUUGAACGCUGGCGGCAGGCUUAACACAUGCAAGUCGAGCGGUAGCACAAGAGAGCUUGCUCUCUGGGUGACGAGCGGCGGACGGGUGAGUAAUGUCUAGGAAACUGCCUGAUGGAGGGGGAUAACUACUGGAAACGGUAGCUAAUACCGCAUAACGUCGCAAGACCAAAGAGGGGGACCUUCGGGCCUCUUGCCAUCAGAUGUGCCCAGAUGGGAUUAGCUAGUAGGUGGGGUAAUGGCUCACCUAGGCGACGAUCCCUAGCUGGUCUGAGAGGAUGACCAGCCACACUGGAACUGAGACACGGUCCAGACUCCUACGGGAGGCAGCAGUGGGGAAUAUUGCACAAUGGGCGCAAGCCUGAUGCAGCCAUGCCGCGUGUGUGAAGAAGGCCUUCGGGUUGUAAAGCACUUUCAGCGAGGAGGAAGGUGGUGAACUUAAUACGUUCAUCAAUUGACGUUACUCGCAGAAGAAGCACCGGCUAACUCCGUG